CGGGGUGGAGUAAUGUCUGGGAAACUGCCUGAUGGAGGGGGGUAACUACUGGAAACGGUAGCUAAUACCGCAUAACAUCGCAAGACCAAAGAGGGGGACCUUCGGGCCUCUUGCCAUCGGAUGUGCCCAGAUGGGAUUAGCUAGUAGGUGGGGUAACGGCUCACCUAGGCGACGAUCCCUAGCUGGUCUGAGAGGAUGACCAGCCACACUGGAACUGAGACACGGUCCAG
rnacentral:rRNA from 1 species